rnacentral:rRNA from 1 species
UACGUAGGUGGCAAGCGUUGUCCGGAUUUACUGGGCGUAAAGGGCUCGUAGGCGGCCAACUAAGUCAGACGUGAAAUCCCUCGGCUUAACCGGGGAACUGCGUCUGAUACUGGAUGGCUUGAGUGUGGGAGAGGGAUGCGGAAUUCCAGGUGUAGCGGUGAAAUGCGUAGAUAUCUGGAGGAACACCGGUGGCGAAGGCGGCAUCCUGGACCACGACUGACGCUGAGGAGCGAAAGCCAGGGGAGCAAACGGG